AGACUUGAGUGCAGAAGAGGACAGUGGAACUCCAUGUGUAGCGGUGGAAUGCGUAGAUAUAUGGAAGAACACCAGUGGCGAAGGCGGCUGUCUAGUCUGUAACUGACGCUGAGGCUCGAAAGCAUGGGUAGCGAACAGGAUUAGAUACCCUGGUAGUCCAUGCCGUAAACGAUGAGUGCUAAGUGUUGGAGGGUUUCCCCCUUCAGUGCUGCAGCUAACGCAUUAAGCACUCCGCCUGGGGAGUACGACCGCAAGGUUGAAACUCAAAGGAAUUGACGGGGGCCCGCACAAGCGGUGGAGCAUGUGGUUUAAUUCGAAGCUACGCGAAGAACCUUACCAGGUCUUGACAUCUUCUGCCAAUCUUAGAGAUAAGACGUUCCCUUCGGGGACAGAAUGACAGGUGGUGCAUGGUUGUCGUCAGCUCGUGUCGUGAGAUGUUGGGUUAAGUCCCGCAACGAGCGCAACCCUUAUUAUCAGUUGCCAGCAUUCAGUUGGGCACUCUGGUGAGACUGCCGGUGACAAACCGGAGGAAGGUGGGGAUGACGUCAAAUCAUCAUGCCCCUUAUGACCUGGGCUACACACGUGCUACAAUGGACGGUACAACGAGUCGCGAAGUCGUGAGGCUAAGCUAAUCUCUUAAAGCCGUUCUCAGUUCGGAUUGUAGGCUGCAACUCGCCUACAUGAAGUUGGAAUCGCUAGUAAUCGCGGAUCAGCAUGCCGCGGUGAAUACGUUCCCGGGCCUUGUACACACCGCCCGUCACACCAUGAGAGUUUGUAACACCCAAAGCCGGUGAGAUAACCUUCGGGAGUCAGCCGUCUAAGGUGGGACAGAUGAUUAGGGUGAAGUCGUAACAAGGUAACCA
rnacentral:rRNA from 1 species